CAAAUUUGAAAUCUGGCCCCGUCGGGGUCCGAGUUGUAAUUUGCAGAGGAUGCUUCGGGCAUGGAUCCGGUCUGAGUUCCUUGGAACAGGACGUCGCAGAGGGUGAGAGCCCCGUAUGUGACUGGCCUCCAAAGCCCAUGCGAAGCUCCUUCGACGAGUCGAGUUGUUUGGGAAUGCAGCUCCAAAUGGGUGGUAAAUUUCAUCUAAAGCUAAAUAUUGGCCAGAGACCGAUAGCGCACAAGUAGAGUGAUCGAAAGAUGAAAAGCACUUUGGAAAGAGAGUCAAACAGUACGUGAAAUUGUUGAAAGGGAAGCGCUUGCAACCAGACUUGCCCGCGGGCGAUCAGCCGGCGUUUGUCGCCGGUGCACUCGCCCGCGGUCAGGCCAGCAUCGGUUUGGGUGGCUGGACAAAGUCCCCCGGAAUGUGGCUCCUCCCGGGGAGUGUUAUAGCCGGAGGUGCCAUGCAGCCCGCCUGGACCGAGGACCGCGCUUCGGCUAGGAUGCUGGCGUAAUGGUUGCAAGCGACCCGUCUUGAAACACGGACCAAGGAGUCUAACAUCCAUGCGAGUGUUUGGGUGUCAAACCCAUGCGCGGAAUGAAAGUGAACGGAGGUGGGAACCCGUCCGGGUGCACCAUCGACCGAUCCUGAUGUCUUCGGAUGGAUUUGAGUAAGAGCAUGGCUGUUGGGACCCGAAAGAUGGUGAACUAUGCCUGAAUAGGGUGAAGCCAGAGGAAACUCUGGUGGAGGCUCGCAGCGGUUCUGACGUGCAAAUCGAUCGUCAAAUUUGGGUAUA
rnacentral:rRNA from 1 species